CCCGCACAAGCGGUGGAUGAUGUGGAUUAAUUCGAUGCAACGCGAAAAACCUUACCUACCCUUGACAUGUCAGGAAGACCGAAGAGAUUUGGUUGUGCCCGAAAGGGAACCUGAACACAGGUGCUGCAUGGCUGUCGUCAGCUCGUGUCGUGAGAUGUUGGGUUAAGUCCCGCAACGAGCGCAACCCUUGUCAUUAGUUGCUACGUCAAGAGCACUCUAAUGAGACUGCCGGUGACAAACCGGAGGAAGGUGGGGAUGACGUCAAGUCCUCAUGGCCCUUAUGGGUAGGGCUUCACACGUCAUACAAUGGUACAUACAGAGGGCCGCCAACCCGCGAGGGGGAG
rnacentral:rRNA from 1 species